rnacentral:lncRNA from 1 species
CAUGAUUAUUAUCAUACAACUCUUUGUAAUGAAGAAUUAUGUGUUAACAUCUAUACUCUCAAGUUGCUUUUGUAACUCAGUGACAUAGUUGCAAGUAUCACAUACGUUGCAGUACUAUUAUCAUCACUGCGUUUACUAUAGUAGCCACCUCUUCCUUUAUCGAGUCAUCACCAGGUGUCUCUGGAAGGGGCUACUCAAGGACGUGACCAACUUUCUCAUGCAUAAGAACAAUUUUCAAAUUGCAGUGUCAAUUAAGAAAAUAUAGUUUGGUUGUUGGCAUCUAGUAUGCAAUUCAAAACAUAUGGUUACUCAGAUUCAAUAUAAAUGUAAAUG